rnacentral:rRNA from 1 species
AUACCACUUGGAAACAGGUGCUAAUACCGGAUAAGAAAGCAGAUCGCAUGAUCAGCUUUUAAAAGGCGGCGUAAGCUGUCGCUAUGGGAUGGCCCGCGGUGCAUUAGCUAGUUGUAAGGUAAGGCUUACAAGGCGAUGAUGCAUAGCCGAGUUGAGAGACUGAUCGGGCCACAUUGGGGACUGAGACACGGGGCCCAAACUCCUACGGGGGGAGGGGCAGGCAGUAGGGGAAUCUUCCACAAUGGACGCAAGUCUGAUGGAGCAACGCCGCGUGAGUGAAGAAGGUUUUCGGAUCGUAAAGCUCUGUUGUUGGUGAAGAAGGAUAGAGGCAGUAACUGGCCUUUAUUUGACGGUAAUCAACCAGAAAGUCACGGCUAACUACGUGCCAGCAGCCGCGGUAAU